GGGUUGUGAGGUUAAGCGACUAAGCGUACACGGUGGAUGCCCUGGCAGUCAGAGGCGAUGAAGGACGUGCUAAUCUGCGAUAAGCGUCGGUAAGGUGAUAUGAACCGUUAUAACCGGCGAUUUCCGAAUGGGGAAACCCAGUGUGAUUCGUCACACUAUCAUUAACUGAAUCCAUAGGUUAAUGAGGCGAACCGGGGAACUGAAACAUCUAAGUACCCCGAGGAAAAGAAAUCAACCGAGAUUCCCCCAGUAGCGGCGAGCGAACGGGGAGCAGCCCAGAGCCUGAAUCAGUGUGUGUGUUAGUGGAAGCGUCUGGAAAGGCGUGCGAUACAGGGUGACAGCCCCGUACACAAAAAUGCACAUACUGUGAGCUCGAUGAGUAGGGCGGGACACGUGGUAUCCUGUCUGAAUAUGGGGGGACCAUCCUCCAAGGCUAAAUACUCCUGACUGACCGAUAGUGAACCAGUACCGUGAGGGAAAGGCGAAAAGAACCCGGCGAGGGGAGUGAAAAAGAACCUGAAACCGUGUACGUACAAGCAGUGGGAGCACGCUUAGGCGUGUGACUGCGUACCUUUUGUAUAAUGGGUCAGCGACUUAUAUUCUGUAGCAAGGUUAACCGAAUAGGGGAGCCGAAGGGAAACCGAGUCUUAACUGGGCGUUAAGUUGCAGGGUAUAGACCCGAAACCCGGUGAUCUAGCCAUGGGCAGGUUGAAGGUUGGGUAACACUAACUGGAGGACCGAACCGACUAAUGUUGAAAAAUUAGCGGAUGACUUGUGGCUGGGGGUGAAAGGCCAAUCAAACCGGGAGAUAGCUGGUUCUCCCCGAAAGCUAUUUAGGUAGCGCCUCGUGAAUUCAUCUCCGGGGGUAGAGCACUGUUUCGGCAAGGGGGUCAUCCCGACUUACCAACCCGAUGCAAACUGCGAAUACCGGAGAAUGUUAUCACGGGAGACACACGGCGGGUGCUAACGUCCGUCGUGAAGAGGGAAACAACCCAGACCGCCAGCUAAGGUCCCAAAGUCAUGGUUAAGUGGGAAACGAUGUGGGAAGGCCCAGACAGCCAGGAUGUUGGCUUAGAAGCAGCCAUCAUUUAAAGAAAGCGUAAUAGCUCACUGGUCGAGUCGGCCUGCGCGGAAGAUGUAACGGGGCUAAACCAUGCACCGAAGCUGCGGCAGCGACGCUUAUGCGUUGUUGGGUAGGGGAGCGUUCUGUAAGCCUGUGAAGGUGUGCUGUGAGGUAUGCUGGAGGUAUCAGAAGUGCGAAUGCUGACAUAAGUAACGAUAAAGCGGGUGAAAAGCCCGCUCGCCGGAAGACCAAGGGUUCCUGUCCAACGUUAAUCGGGCAGGGUGAGUCGACCCCUAAGGCGAGGCCGAAAGGCGUAGUCGAUGGGAAACAGGUUAAUAUUCCUGUACUUGGUGUUACUGCGAAGGGGGGACGGAGAAGGCUAUGUUGGCCGGGCGACGGUUGUCCCGGUUUAAGCGUGUAGGCUGGUUUUCCAGGCAAAUCCGGAAAAUCAAGGCCGAGGCGUGAUGACGAGGCACUACGGUGCUGAAGCAACAAAUGCCCUGCUUCCAGGAAAAGCCUCUAAGCAUCAGGUAACAUCAAAUCGUACCCCAAACCGACACAGGUGGUCAGGUAGAGAAUACCAAGGCGCUUGAGAGAACUCGGGUGAAGGAACUAGGCAAAAUGGUGCCGUAACUUCGGGAGAAGGCACGCUGAUACGUAGGUGAAGCGACUUGCUCGUGGAGCUGAAAUCAGUCGAAGAUACCAGCUGGCUGCAACUGUUUAUUAAAAACACAGCACUGUGCAAACACGAAAGUGGACGUAUACGGUGUGACGCCUGCCCGGUGCCGGAAGGUUAAUUGAUGGGGUUAGCGCAAGCGAAGCUCUUGAUCGAAGCCCCGGUAAACGGCGGCCGUAACUAUAACGGUCCUAAGGUAGCGAAAUUCCUUGUCGGGUAAGUUCCGACCUGCACGAAUGGCGUAAUGAUGGCCAGGCUGUCUCCACCCGAGACUCAGUGAAAUUGAACUCGCUGUGAAGAUGCAGUGUACCCGCGGCAAGACGGAAAGACCCCGUGAACCUUUACUAUAGCUUGACACUGAACAUUGAGCCUUGAUGUGUAGGAUAGGUGGGAGGCUUUGAAGUGUGGACGCCAGUCUGCAUGGAGCCGACCUUGAAAUACCACCCUUUAAUGUUUGAUGUUCUAACGUGGACCCGUGAUCCGGGUUGCGGACAGUGUCUGGUGGGUAGUUUGACUGGGGCGGUCUCCUCCUAAAGAGUAACGGAGGAGCACGAAGGUUGGCUAAUCCUGGUCGGACAUCAGGAGGUUAGUGCAAUGGCAUAAGCCAGCUUGACUGCGAGCGUGACGGCGCGAGCAGGUGCGAAAGCAGGUCAUAGUGAUCCGGUGGUUCUGAAUGGAAGGGCCAUCGCUCAACGGAUAAAAGGUACUCCGGGGAUAACAGGCUGAUACCGCCCAAGAGUUCAUAUCGACGGCGGUGUUUGGCACCUCGAUGUCGGCUCAUCACAUCCUGGGGCUGAAGUAGGUCCCAAGGGUAUGGCUGUUCGCCAUUUAAAGUGGUACGCGAGCUGGGUUUAGAACGUCGUGAGACAGUUCGGUCCCUAUCUGCCGUGGGCGCUGGAGAACUGAGGGGGCUGCUCCUAGUACGAGAGGACCGGAGUGGACGCAUCACUGGUGUUCGGGUUGUCAUGCCAAUGGCACUGCCCGGUAGCUAAAUGCGGAAGAGAUAAGUGCUGAAAGCAUCUAAGCACGAAACUUGCCCCGAGAUGAGUUCUCCCUGACCCUUUAAGGGUCCUGAAGGAACGUUGAAGACGACGACGUUGAUAGGCCGGGUGUGUAAGCGCAGCGAUGCGUUGAGCUAACCGGUACUAAUGAACCGUGAGGCUUAACCUUACAACGCCGAAG
rnacentral:rRNA from 1 species